GGAUGCCUAUACAUGCAAGUCGAGCGAAGUAGCAAUACUUAGCGGCGAACGGGUGCGUAAUACUUACCUAACCUGCCCUUUAGAGGAGGAUAACUGAUCGAAAGAUUAGCUAAUACUCCAUAGGAUAUUUGUUCGCAUGAACAGAUAUUUAAAGUUGCGUUUGCAACACUUUAGGAUGGGGGUGAGGCUUAUCAGAUAGUUGGUGAGGUAACGGCCCACCAAGUCAAUGACGAGUAGCUAUGCUGAGAGGUAGAAUAGCCACAAUGGGACUGAGACACGGCCCAUACUCCUACGGGAGGCAGCAGUAGGGAAUUUUUCUCAAUGGGCGAAAGCCUGAAGGAGCAAUACCGCGUGAACGAUGAAGGUCUUUGGAUUGUAAAGUUCUUUUAUUAGGGACGAACGGUCACAGCAGGAAAUGGUUGUGAUUUGACUGUACCUUUUGAAUAAGUAACGGCAAACUUUGUGCCAGCAGCCGCGGUAAUACAAAGGUUACAAGCGUUAUCCGGAUUUACUGGGCGUAAAGCGAGCGCGGGCUGAUUAACAAGUCUGGUGUUAAAUACUGUUGCUUAACAAUAGUAUGCAUUGGAAACUGUUAAUCUAGAGUAUGAUAGGGAGUUCAAGAACUCCAUGUGGAGCGGUGGAAUGCGUAGAUAUAUGGAAGAAUACCAGUGGUGAAGACGUGAACUUAGGUCAAUACUGACGCUUAGGCUCGAAAGUGUGGGGAGCAAAUAGGAUUAGAUACCCUAGUAGUCCACACCGUAAACGAUGAUCAUUAGGUGUAGCCACGAUAGUGGUUGUGCCGUAGUUAACACGUUAAAUGAUCCGCCUGGGUAGUACAUUCGCAAGAAUGAAACUCAAACGGAAUUGACGGGGACCCGCACAAGUGGUAGGAGCAUGUUGUUUAAUUCGACAGUACACGCAAAACCUUACCAGGUUUGACAUGUUGAGCAAAGUUGUAGAAAUACAAUGGAUGUUAACUCAAACACAGGUGGUGCAUGAUGUCGU
rnacentral:rRNA from 1 species